UACGUAGGGGCAAGCGUUGUCCGGAUUUAUUGGGCGUAAAGAGCGUGUAGGCGGCCGUACAGGUCAGCUGUGAAAACUCGAGGCUCAACCUCGAGACGUCGGUUGAAACCGUACGGCUAGAGUCCGGAAGAGGAGAGUGGAAUUCCCGGUGUAGCGGUGAAAUGCGCAGAUAUCGGGAAGAACACCCGUGGCGAAGGCGGCUCUCUGGGACGGUACUGACGCUGAGACGCGAAAGCGUGGGGAGCGAACAGG
rnacentral:rRNA from 1 species